rnacentral:rRNA from 1 species
GAGUUUGAUCCUGGCUCAGGAUGAACGCUAGCGGGAGGCCUAACACAUGCAAGCCGAGCGGUAUUUGUUCUUCGGAACAGAGAGAGCGGCGUACGGGUGCGUAACACGUGUGCAACCUACCUUUAUCAGGGGAAUAGCCUUUCGAAAGGAAGAUUAAUACUCCAUAAUAUAUUGAAUGGCAUCAUUCGAUAUUGAAAACUCCGGUGGGUAAAGAUGGGCACGCGCAAGAUUAGAUAGUUGGUGAGGUAACGGCUCACCAAGUCAAUGAUCUUUAGGGGUCCUGAGAGGGAGAUCCCCCACACUGGUGCUGAGACACGGACCAGACUCCUACGGGAGGCAGCAGUGAGGAAUAUUGGACAAUGGGUGAAAGCCUGAUCCAGCCAUCCCGCGUGAAGGAUGACGGUCCUAUGGAUUGUAAACUUCUUUUGUAUAGGGAUAAACCUAGAUACGUGUAUCUAGCUGAAGGUACUAUACGAGUAAGCACCGGCUAACUCCGUGCCAGCAGCCGCGGUAAUACGGAGGGUGCAAGCGUUAUCCGGAUUUAUUGGGUUUAAAGGGUCCGUAGGCGGGCCGAUAAGUCAGUGGUGAAAUCUCAUAGCUUAACUAUGAAACUGCCAUUGAUACUGUCGGUCUUGAGUAAAUUAGAGGUAGCUGGAAUAAGUAGUGUAGCGGUGAAAUGCAUAGAUAUUACUUAGGACACCAAUUGCGAAGGCAGGUUACCAUGAUUUAACUGACGCUGAGGGACGAAAGCGUGGGGAGCGAACAGGAUUAGAUAC